UUACAGAAGUCAUCACAGGGCCUUGGGAAUCAUUUCAAGAGCUGUUGUACCUAUCUUGCCUGCUGGAGGCUAGCCUGGAACCCAGGCUUAGAAAUAGAAUCCAACAACGGUCUUUCGUGUCUCUGAUAACACCUUUUAGGUUUGUUCUAUUCCUGAGAAAAAUGCCAUUGGGAUUCUGGGGUUAUGCUUAGCUCUAUGCUCAGAAAUUGCUUCAGCAGACAGACUCAGGAC